rnacentral:rRNA from 1 species
GACAGAGGGUGCAAACGUUGUUCGGAAUUACUGGGCGUAAAGCGCAUGUAGGCGGCCUUGCAGGUCGGAUGUGAAAUCCCUCGGCUCAACCAAGGAAGUGCAUUCGAAACCGCGAGGCUGGAGUCCCGGAGAGGAUGGUGGAAUUCUCGGUGUAGAGGUGAAAUUCGUAGAUAUCGAGAGGAACACCGGCGGCGAAAGCGGCCAUCUGGACGAGGACUGACGCUGAGAUGCGAAAGCGUGGGGAG